rnacentral:lncRNA from 1 species
CCGGAUUUCUGAGUCAAAUAAUUUUUUGGCUGACCGAAAAAAAUUUUUCGUCAUAGACCAACUUAGAAAGGUUCAAAACGCAUAUUAACGGAGAUAGGUUUGGCUCGGGGGAAUUUUAAAGCACAUUUUCACAUGGCUAUCAUAGCACUGAGCCGUAUGCAAAUGAUUCCUUGCCCGUCCCGAUUACUAUAAAUUACACUACGCUUGCCCGUCCAUUAAUAUAAAUUACACUACGCUUGCCCGUUGCCCGGAUUUCGGAGCCAAAUAAAUUUUUGGCUGAGCCUUUCACGAGCCCUAUGAUGCAAAGUACCGCCAAAAUUAGCUAUACCAAUUUUCGGAUGACGUUGUCAAAAACGUCUCACUAUUACUGUACCAUCAUGCAGUUUGGACGCAUGUCCAGGGGGGACUGCUUCUGUUUAGGGUACUUGCUGAGUGACGAAUCAUGACGAAUGUAACGCUUACGCAAAAAACAAUGGAGAUGGACUUCUGUGUAGUAUUCCGUCGUUGAACGAAACCUCGCAAGCGUGGCAAUAUGUUUUCAGAUUAGCCGUUUUUAUGAGCCGUACUGAGCCCAGCUGGGGGAGUUUGACUAAUGGUCGAGGGUAAAAUGUCGAGGGUUGGGAAAAAAUGUCGAGGGUCUGAAGAAUAUCAAAAAAAUACUUUUAAAAUUUGGUAUUCUAUUUAAUAGUCCGAAAAUUUUUUUUCGCCUGCGUUUGAUUUACACACGAGUAAAACUCAAAUUAGCCAUCCGAAGUUGAUGAGUGGACUGGGGACGAGUGUUAAAAAGUGUCCAAAUUAAGAAAUGAACCAAAUCACUAAAAAGACCACCUCAAAAUUAGUAAGUAUACAAAGUUUGAAGACGUUUGCAUGAAUAUCCUUCGAAUAAUAAGCUUUCAAAAAUUAUGAAAUUACUGAUUAAAAGAUUGUUUUUGGGACGCGCGUUCCAAAAACAAAAAUCACAGUGCAUUUCAUAGUAAAUAUCUCGAAAGCUUAUUAUUCAAAGGAUAUUCCUGUAAAGGUCUUCAAGCUUUGUAUACUUACUAAUUUUGAGGUGGUCUUUUUAGUGAUUUGGUUCAUUUCUUAAAUUGGGCACUUUUUAACACUCGUCCCCAGUCCACUCAUCAACUUCGGAAUGGCUAAUUGUAAGCAGACUAAGCAGGUUGCAUGCGACAGUUUUAGGAAAACGUAGUGUAGUGUAAGAAGGCGGAUUUACACUACACAACGUUUGCUAAAACUGCAGCAUGCAACCUGCAUCACAAUUCGCCUAUGUUGUCAUAUAUCAUCACCUCACUAUCUGGUGAAGCUAGAAACGUUUGCAUGCGUUUGAGUCUAAAACCAAUAGUUUUCAUACAACAGUAUUUGCUACAAAUGUGUAAAUUAGAGAUGAAGGACUUCAAAAAAUUUUACAAACUCCAGUGAUGAGUUAACCAAAACAAGACGAAAUAUUUGCCAUUAGGCAUUAUUUAAAUGUUACAUUAAAUAACGAAUUUACCUCAUUUUUGGAAAGACCAGGUUCUUCAAAAUGGUGAUAGUGGUAAAUUGAAAGAAUAUAAGAAACUUAAAGUAAAUGUGGGUAUUGAAAAAUACCUUUUAGAAAUUAAAAAUUUUAAGUACCGUCAAGCAGUUACAAGAUUACGAGUUUCAGCGCACAGAUUACCAGUAGAAACUGGCCUAUAUAAAAAAAUUGCCUACUGUGAUAGAAAAUGUAAACUUUGUGAUCAG